rnacentral:rRNA from 1 species
UACAGAGGUGGCAAGCGUUGUUCGGAAUUACUGGGCGUAAAGGGCGCGUAGGCGGCCUACUAAGUCAGACGUGAAAUCCCCCGGCUUAACCUGGGAACUGCGUCUGAUACUGGAAGGCUUGAGGAUGGGAGAGGGAUGUAGAAUUCCAGGUGUAGCGGUGAAAUGCGUAGAUAUCGGGAGGAACACCGGUGGCGAAGGCGGGUCUCUGGGCAAUUCCUGACGCUGAGGCGCGAAAGCGUGGGGAGCAAACGGG